rnacentral:rRNA from 1 species
UACGUAGGGGGCUAGCGUUGUCCGGAAUCAUUGGGCGUAAAGCGCGUGUAGGCGGUCCGUUAAGUCCGCUGUGAAAGUCGAGGGCUCAACCCUCGAAUGCCGGUGGAUACUGUCGGGCUUGAGUACGGGAGAGGCGAGUGGAAUUCCUGGUGUAGCGGUGAAAUGCGCAGAUAUCAGGAGGAACACCGAUUGCGAAGGCAGCUCGCUGGAACGUUACUGACGCUGAGACGCGAAAGCGUGGGGAGCAAACAGG